UUGUAUGUACAUACAGCUGCUCUGAGUCCCCUUCGGGGUGAGAAGGGUGGGAUAUAAAUGUAGUAAAUAAAUGCAGUCAAUAAAUAAUUAAUUUUAGACUUAGGCUCGGCCAAAGUCUGACACGACUUGAAGGCACACAACAACAAUAACAAUCCUAAUUAACCUGACUAUCUCAUUGGUCAGUAGCAGGCCCACACUUUCCAUUGAAAUCCUAAUAGGUUUAUGUUGGUUAAAAUUGUUUUCAUUUUUAAAUAUUUUAUUGUUCUUUCAUUGUUGUUGUUGUUGUUGUUGUUGUUGUACUACAAAUAAGACAUGUGCAGUAUGCAUAGGUAUUUGUUUGUAUUUUUUUUUCCAAAUGAUAAUUCGGCCCCUCCACAGUCUGAAGGAUUGUGGACCGGCCCUCUGCUUAAAAAGUUUGGGGACCCCUGCUCUACUGUAUAGGUGCUGAAUUUGCUUUAGGAAAAGGAUUCAACACCCUGGAUAGCUACUUGCAACUUAAGACUAAAUAGCAGCACAUCUUUAUUAACUCACUGCCAUUGAAACCACCAGUCACUACUGUUCCCCACACUUUAAAUGAUAACUUGAAUACUAAGCAAAGGACAAGAGCCAUGCAGCUAUGGACAAGUCUCCAUAGGGACUACCAAACGCAGCAAUGCCCAAACACUAAUCAAGAAACAUGAAAGGCACCGCAGACUAACUCAGCCAGGGAAGUCAGCCAUAGCAGAGCACUUGAUGAACCAACCUGGACACAGCAUAUUAUGCGAAAACACAGAAAUGCUGGACCACUCUCACAAACACCACGCCAGAUGAUACAGAGAAGCCACUGAAAUCCACAAGCAUGUGGACAAUUUCAACAGAAAGGGAGAAACCAUGAGAAUGAACAAAAUGUGGCUAACAGUAUUAAAAAAAACCUCUAAAAUCAGGACAAUAAAUAAAGAACAACACUCUGAAAACAGGGGAAUUCCAGACAUGAAACAAUCAGGGCCAGCUAAGACCUCCCAACAAAGGAUUCUGCCCAAGGAGGAAUUAGCCAAGCACUGAGCUGCAAGACCAUUAAAUGCUAAUCAAGCUGGCCAAUUAUAACAUCCACACUGGCCUCCAACAGACAAGAGUUUUUUUCUCUCACCUCCCACAGAUAUAUAAACCUCCCUUGCUUAGUUUCCAAUAUACCUCACUCCCUCUGAGAAUGCCUGCCAUAGAUGUGGGUGAAAUGUCAAGAGAGAAUGCUUCUAGAACAUAGCCAUACAGCCCGGAAAACUCAUAACAACCCAGUGAUUCCAGCCAUGAAAGCCUUUGACAAGAACUUGAGCACUGUUCAAAAUUCUAGUUUUUUAAGUGCAUUUUGGGGACAGCUCCUUGCUUACCAUGCUGAGCAGAGCCUUAGAUCCUUUCACAUAGUCAUAUAACCCAGAAUAUCAAGGCAGAUAAUCCACAAUAUCUGCUUUGAACUGAGUUAUCUGAGUCCACAUUGCCAUAUAAUCUAGUUAAAUGUGGAUUUUAUAUAGCUGUGUAGAAGGGGCUUUCGACUUGCACCGCAAAGUUCUGCUCUGCUGACAACACUUGGGCCAAUGGGAUACACUAGAAAAGUUUCAAAGCAGAAGGACAUAUGGUUUGGCUCUUAACAUCCAGCAUUACCCUUUGAAUCUCCAUCUUAAGGUGGAGUUCUGUCACAGACCUGUCAUGUAUUACUUUCUGUGCCAAGAAGUUCCCAAGUAUGUUGCUCAGUGGAUAAAAAGGGACUGGGGAAGAUGGUGAGAAAAAAACAGAUAAAAAGGCCUGGAAGGGAACUGGCAAGAGAAAUACUGGUGCCUCUUAAACUGGAAUUUUAAAAUGCAAUAUCUGGUGUAUCUGGAGAAAGAUGUCUGGAGCAUAAGCACCUGUGUUACAUGUCUUGCUUUGCUUUGCCCUUGCCAUUAUCUGCUAGUCAAUAGAUACACUGUGUGUGAAAUUUCAGGGUAUAUUGUUGGCUACUAUCCUCCAGUCUUUCACUCCAUUCUCUUUCUUCAAAUCUUGUUUUAAAAGGCACACCUUACCUGUAAAAUCGUUGGCUGUCUUUUUCAUGCCUAUUACAGAGGUGGGCAAAAUGUGACCCUCCAGAUGCCAUAGCUGAUGGUGAGGGAUGCUGGAAGUUGGUGCCUAACAAUACAGGACAAGGAUCCUUUGCCCACUCUUGCCUGACUUCAAUUAAGCUUGUAAGUUACUAAGCCUGGAUGCAGGAACUAUGUUGUUCACAAUUGCAUCAAUAUAAAUGGCCAGUCAGAGAAAUAAAGAAGCAGAUUCCUUAUGAGUAUCUGAUAAUAGAGUCGGCUGAUUUUGAAUGUGGAUAUAUGAUGUCCAAAUCAGCUUUGGUUGUGGUGUGAUGUUUCACAGAACAAGGCAAACUACCUCAUUCCCACCCAGCAUUAUUUACUGGCUAUAAUACUUCCUAAUACUUUCCUAUCACUUGCCUCCUGGUCUAUUUCACUAGGGUUGUGAAUGUCGAUGCUCUGAGUACAAAAAAGAUCUUCGAGGUAAGGUUACUCCCCAUACUAUACUUAAGAGCCAUGAACUCACCAGAUGGCUUCAGGUAAGCUCCUGUCUCUUGACCUCAGCCCUCCAUUUUCAGGAGUAUAAUACUUUCUUACAUUGGAGAGUUGUGCUAUUUCUGAAGAGUAAUGCCUAUGAAGGGAUUCAAUUCUACUAUGUUACAGGUACACAAAUUAUCAUUCAGUUAUCUUAUUUCUACACUCAAAUAGUCUAAAAUAUACCCAUUGAGCUUUUCUUUUUUGCAGAAAGCGACUUGUUUAUUAAUUUAUUACAUUUAUUUCUGCUUUCCCUUGAAGGAGCUCAAGACAGCAUCUACGGUUUCUCACUUUUAUCCUCAUAACAACCCUGUAAGCAUUGUUGACUGGGCUUUAGCACAGCGGGUUAAACCACCAACUGCAUAUAAAUCUUGUCAGUCGAGAGGUUGACAGUUCGAAGCCCUGGUCAGGGUGAGCUCCUGACCUUUAGUCCAGCUUCCACCUACCUAGUGGUUCGGAAGCAAAAUGUGAGUAGAUCAACACGAACCACUUAAAAGCGGAGAAGUAUUAAGACACCCAGAAGGAAAUGCCAGCGAUUUAAUCAAAAGGAGGAAGUUACAAACAAAACUCUCUGGCAGGGAGUGACAGCCAUCAGUGGCCUGAGUGCAAGCGUCCAAGAAGUCGAAGAUGGGAAAUGCCAUACCUCUAUGUUCAAUUGUCUGUCUUGUUUGUGAAUAAAAACAGCAUUGAGUGUUUGUUACAUAAUGUGUUCUGUGAUCUGCCCUGAGUCCCCUUUGGGGUGAGAAGGGCAGAAUAUAAAUUCUAUAAAUAAAAUAAAUGAAUGAA